rnacentral:rRNA from 1 species
GAUCAUGGCUCAGGAUGAACGCUAGCUACAGGCUUAACACAUGCAAGUCGAGGGGCAGCGGGAUUGAAGCUUGCUUCAAUUUCCGGCGACCGGCGCACGGGUGAGUAACGUGUAUCCAACCUUCCGUACACUCAGGGAUAGCCUUUCGAAAGAAAGAUUAAUACCUGAUGGUAUCUUAAGCACACAUGUAAUUAAGAUUAAAGAUUUAUCGGUGUACGAUGGGGAGUGCGUUCCAUUAGGUAGG